GUUUCUGUAGAGUAGUGGUCAUCACGCGCGCUUCAGACGCGCAAGGACCCCUGUUCGAGCCUGGGCGGAGACA